rnacentral:rRNA from 1 species
GACGAACGCUGGCGGCGUGCUUAACACAUGCAAGUCGAACGGAGAGGCCCUGCUUUUGUGGGGUGCUCGAGUGGCGAACGGGUGAGUAACACGUGAGUAACCUGCCCUUGACUCUGGGAUAACUUCUGGAAACGGGGGCUAAUACCGGAUACGAACCUCGCCUGCAUGGUGGGGGUUGGGAAGGUUCGGCGGUUGGGGAUGGACUCGCGGCUUAUCAGCUUGUUGGUGGGGUAGUGGCUUACCAAGGCUUUGACGGGUAGCCGGCCUGAGAGGGUGACCGGCCACAUUGGGACUGAGAUACGGCCCAGACUCCUACGGGAGGCAGCAGUGGGGAAUAUUGCACAAUGGGCGGAAGCCUGAUGCAGCAACGCCGCGUGCGGGAUGACGGCCUUCGGGUUGUAAACCGCUUUCGCCUGGGACGAAGCGUGAGUGACGGUAAUGGGUAAAGAAGCACCGGCUAACUACGUG